GCGUCGAGGAAUACAUCAUCGGAUACUAAAAUUAAAAAAUUAUAAGUAACCGUAAUAAAAAUAAGGGCGAACUUGACCCCAUCAUUUCAAACCAUAAAAUUAUGUCCUAUUAUUGCUCAAACGAUUCUUGUUGGAAAUCUAUGAAAGUUGGAAUGCAUAAACGACCAGAAGAAUGAAUCCAUGUGGACAAAGAUGCUUAUAUAGACGCCAAUAGCCUACGCAUAAUCCCUUAUCCUUUUCUAUUAUAAUCUAUCUCUUUUCCCUUUUUUCCCCUCUCUCUAUUAUUUUUAUUUUCAAGUAUCUUCUUUAUAGAAACAGAUGGUAAAAAAAAUUAAUUUUACUUUAUUUUUUAUUUUUUCUUAUUUUUUAUUUUAUAUUUAUAGAUUAAAAAGUUGUGAAUAAAAUAUUGUCACAUAAAAAAUAGAGUUAUUACAGGCAAAAUAUCAACUAUGUUACUAGUGAUUUGAUUACCUUGACAAAAAGUUCAUUUGAUUUUCCUACCGAUCGAUUUGUAGAACGAGAAGGUGUUCACGAGAGUUUUACUAUCGAUGAGUCGAAAGGUGCAUUAAUUCGAGUUAGUUUGUUCGAAGCAGGCCAAAUGUACAAGUCGUAACGUUUCAAUCCGUUACAUCGAAUGAAAUGAAGUGAAAAGUUAU